rnacentral:misc_RNA from 1 species
CCGAGUACCGGGAUCUUCGAUCCCUACUCCCACCCCAUGUUAACUUCUUACCGUUGCUUUGGCGGACCGGUGGUCUGACCGCCGCCGGCCCUGGGCUGGAGAGCGUCUGCCAGAGGAUCUUUAAACGCUGUUUUAAACACGGGGUCUGAGUACAAUCUUGAUUGAAACUA